AACGAACGCUGGCGGCAUGCCUAACACAUGCAAGUCGAACGAGACCUUCGGGUCUAGUGGCGCACGGGUGCGUAACGCGUGGGAAUCUACCCUGGGGUGCGGAAUAACUCGGAGAAAUCCGUGCUAAUACCGCAUAAUGUCUUCGGACCAAAGAUUUAUUGCCCUGGGAUGAGCCCGCGUAGGAUUAGCUAGUUGGUGAGGUAAAGGCUCACCAAGGCGACGAUCCUUAGCUGGUCUGAGAGGAUGAUCAGCCACACUGGGACUGAGACACGGCCCAGACUCCUACGGGAGGCAGCAGUGGGGAAUAUUGGACAAUGGGCGAAAGCCUGAUCCAGCAAUGCCGCGUGAGUGAUGAAGGCCUUAGGGUUGUAAAGCUCUUUUACCAGGGAUGAUAAUGGCAGUACCUGGAGAAUAAGCUCCGGCUAACUCCGUG
rnacentral:rRNA from 1 species